GGCCCGGUAGCUCAGUGGAUAGAGCGCUUGCCUACGAAGCAAGAAGUCGGGAGUCCGAGUCUCCCCCGGGUCA
rfam:Actinobacteria bacterium 13_2_20CM_2_66_6 13_2_20cm_2_scaffold_15453, whole genome shotgun sequence.